rnacentral:rRNA from 1 species
AACGCGAAGAACCUUACCAGGUCUUGACAUCCUCUGAAAACCCUAGAGAUAGGGCUUCUCCUUCGGGAGCAGAGUGACAGGUGGUGCAUGGUUGUCGUCAGCUCGUGUCGUGAGAUGUUGGGUUAAGUCCCGCAACGAGCGCAACCCUUGAUCUUAGUUGCCAUCAUUAAGAUGGGCACUCUAAGGUAACUGCCGGUGACAAACCGGAGGAAGGUGGGGAUGACGUCAAAUCAUCAUGCCCCUUAUGACCUGGGCUACACACGUGCUACAAUGGACGGUACAAAGAGCUGCAAGACCGCGAGGUGGAGCUAAUCUCAUAAAACCGUUCUCAGUUCGGAUUGUAGGCUGCAACUCGCCUACAUGAAGCUGGAAUCGCUAGUAAUCGCGGAUCAGCAUGCCGCGGUGAAUACGUUCCC